rnacentral:rRNA from 1 species
AUGGCUGUUCGCCAUUUAAAGUGGUACGCGAGCUGGGUUUAGAACGUCGUGAGACAGUUCGGUCCCUAUCUGCCGUGGGUGUAGGAAUAUUGAGAGGAGCUGUCCUUAGUACGAGAGGACCGGGAUGGACAUACCUCUGGUGGACCUGUUGUGGCGCCAGCCGCAUUGCAGGGUAGCUAUGUAUGGACGGGAUAACCGCUGAAUGCAUCUAAGCGGGAAACCCACCUCAAAACCAGGUUUCCCUUGAGAGCCGUUCUAGACUAGGACGUCGAUAGGCCAGGUGUGGAAGCGCUGCGAGG